rnacentral:lncRNA from 1 species
UGCAAAGCAAUCUAUUACAUUAGGUGCUUUUAAAGAAAUUAUUUUAUGUAUCGAUUUCUCUGGUCUCUAAUUUCCUCAUCAGUAAAAUGGGCGUAAUAAAAUCUCUUCUCUAGCAUAGUAAAAAUGGAAGGAAAUGAACUACAAGGCAAUGGCUUCAGAUACUGUGUUCUGUGCCUAGUAUAUAUUUAUCUGCCUCUCCUUUAUCAGAUGGUAAAUUUUUCUUUCUUUUUCCUUUCUCUUUUUUUUUUUUAGAUGGAUUUUCACUCUUUUCACCCAGGCUGGAGUGCAAUGGCACAAUCUUGGCUCACUGCAACCUCCACCUCCCAAGUUCAAGUGAUUCUCCUGCCUCAGCCUCCUGAGUAGCUGGGAUUACAGGCACCUGCCACCACGCCCGGCUAAUUUUUGUAUUUUUAGUAGAGACGUGGUUUCACCAUGUUGGCCAGGCUGGUCUCAAACUCCUGAUCUCAGGUGAUCCACCUGCCUUGGCCUCCCAAAGUGCUGGGAUUACAGGCGUGAGCCACUGUAC